ensembl:lncRNA
GCGACAGCGGCGCGGCAUUGGAUAGUGUCAUCAUGAACAAGAGGAAGGGUGGCAGUGACAUUGAUCAGUUUUUUGGGCAGCCUCAGAAAAGAAAACAUGAGAGCAGUGAGAAAAUGUGUACCAGUCAGAUGAUAGAAGUAUGCAGUAGCACAAAAGGCUUUGUUAUGGAAGGUUGAAGAAUAAUUGGUGGUACAACAGGAACGUGUUGUCAUGGAUGGGCUUCUGCAGCAGACCAUUACAAAGACUCAACUCCACCACCUGAAAACGAGAAGCAGCUCGAGUGCAACCAAAAACUGGAAAUUGAGGAUUGGAAAAUGCCGUUUGGUUCAACAACUGCCUGAACAGACCAGAGACCUAUCUAUACCUAUCCCCAAUCAAGUAUAUUUGACUAAAUACCUAAUCCUAGUAAAGGCUGCCACCAAACUCCAUGCCACCAUACAAAAAAGCCCAGAGCUGAGACUGCCAAGACCUCCAGUACUGCCUCAUGCCCUGAACAAAAUAUCUACCAAGGCACAGCGAAGAAGAAAAUGAAGAGGACUGUUAAACUAACCGAAGAUGAAAGUAGUCUGAGUCAAAACUUACUCAGUUAUAGCUAACAUCAUGUGCCUUACACUGAACUUUCUACUUGUUUUACCUCAAACAAUAUAUUUUGAACAGAUUUUUCUAUGCACUUGUACCUUAAUGUGGAUGCCACCAGGGUUAUAGGUUAUAGUCCUGAAUGAAUCAUGAAUGACAAAGAGUAAGAAGGUAUAUGUGAAUAAAAAAAAACAAGGCUAAAGACUCACCAUCAGCAAUAAAA